UGUAAAAAUAGAAUUUGGUACAUUGAGUGGAAAUUAAUUUAAGGUACUUAAGGAGGAAACUAGUCUUGGGUGAGUAUUUAUUGAUUUAAUAAUUGCGUUGAUUUUU